AAUGGGUCAGAUUCGAGGUGGAUUUUCAAAAAUUCGAACCCAAAUCCGACUCCAAACCCGAAACCCGAACCCGAACCCGGCGAAUUUUAAAAAUCCAUAUCCAAAUCCGAACCUACCAAAAAUUCGAAACCCAAAUCUGAAUCCGAAUCCGAAACAAUUAUUUCUAUUUUCAAUAUAUCAAAAUAUUACAUUAAAUCUAAAUUUUUAAAAUAUAAAUUCAAAUAUUACAUCAAAUUUUUAUAUGCAUAUUAUAUAUAAUAUAAAAUAAAUUCGGGGUCGGGUCGGGUUUGGGUUCGGGUCGGGUACAGUCAAAAUCCAUAUCUAAAUCCAUAUCCGUCGGAUUUUUGUUUUCGAUAUCCAUAUCCGAAACUAUAUCCAUUUAGCAUCGCCGUUCGGAUUCGGAUAUGAGUUCGGAUAAAAUUUCGGGUAUCCAUACCCAUUGACAUCCCUACUCUUUAGCCUCUUCUAUCCAUCUUUUGUCUUAUUUUAUAUUCCUACAAAUUUACAUUACAUCAGACGUCAUUAAAAAUAGUUAAUUUUGAGACCACUUGAAUACUAGUUAAUUGAUACCAAAAAAUUAUGAAAAUUGAAAGUUACAAAGUUCA
rnacentral:lncRNA from 1 species